CUUUAUUCGUCUCAUUUGACAGGGAAGUUGUUUAUUUAUGGUCGGAGGAAGCAGUAUCGUUUUUUACUCUUAUCUUACAACGCAACACAUGUCUGUAUGACUUUGCAAAAGCAAUCGCAGAGAAUUGCAAUUAGGCUACAAGGUAAUUGUGCAGCAUUGACGGUAAAAUAACAAUUAAACGGAGCACUGUAACUUUAAAUAACAAUGCAUUUGCGCCCAAAGGGAAUCCGACCAUUUCCUUUCUGUUGUAUCUGAAUUCGCCAAAUAUUACAAAACAUCCUUUUCCUUGAAGGCAUUAUCCCAGCAUAUUGGCUAUCCUCCCUUCCUUCCCCAGAAUUCCAGGAUUGGAUAAGGAGGUUUGCAUUGUGCAUUGCUUAGAGCAGAACGACAAAACCGACGGGUUUCAUUCUAUAAAGAGAUGCUAUUACAAUAAAAAAUAGUUGUACAACAGGUGAACCGGAAUGGAAGAUCAGACCGAAAGUCUUUCAAAGAACAGACUCUAAACUAGAGGAAACAGCUGCUUUGCCCGUGUCGGCUCCAUAGAAACUGGAAAUAGGAGUUCAUUAAAGAUGGAGUAAACGCUUUGAGAAUAUGGCCCUGUUUUGAUGUGACCUCUAGAAUGCUGGGGCGCCGCAGAAGAGCAGUGAUGAGUACAUUUAGUUCAUUAGUAAAAAAUAAAAACAUGUAAAAUCAAUUUAAAACAUUUAAAAACCACUACGCAGUUACAUAAUGUGCCUUGAGGCUCUGUGGGGAAUACUGAAAGACAAUGCACAGGAGAUAUUGAGAUUUAACAAAAAGAGCUUUAAAUCUCAUUAGAGUCUUCAAAGCUUCGGGACAGAUAAGAUGGCUUCUGUUUCAUUGCAACCCACCCCCCUGGAUGGGAAUAUGAGUGUUUCCAUUGCGCUGGUCCACAGAGAGAUCUCUGUUUGCGAGUGCAGUCAUGUGAUCUGGCGCCUGGCUAAGGAGAUUCCCAGGUGUUUGUACUUGACAACCUGAUGGAAAAAUGAGUUUAAGUGUCCUGCCUUCUCUAAAGUUUUUUUUAUGCAAAUGAAAUCCUUGGCAUUGUAAUAAAAGCCAUCCCCCACUUGCAGCAGAUCUGACAGUGAGCUGAUAGUAGGUGCUCUGUUGGCAGGUGCUUCCGUAUCCAAGACUGUACACACUACUGACGUUUCACGAGAAACCAUUUCAAAAUGAAUGAGCCAUACUAGAAUGAAAUAACUGUUGUAGAAAUAUCCACACAUUCAUUCAAACAAACGUAGGCCCUUGGUGACAGUUUUUCUCCUGGCUGCCAGGAAGUUGCUGAGUUCUUCGCCAAGAAGGAUUAGGUGAUGUAACUUCUCUAAAAAUAAAAUAUCUGUAUUUCAUAAACAAACAUUUGUACAACUAUAAUGACCCUUUCUAACAACAGUAAUUACUAUGAAAUUAAUACUUCACUGUUUCAUCACCAAGUACAGAAAGAUAAUCCUACGAUAAGUAAAUAGUUUAGGCCAAAUUAGUCAAUGUACACAUACGUGUUGUACACAUGUAGUCUUGGAGGGCUUCUAGUGGUGGCUUUAUUGAUUUCCAGUAUGUCCUUAAUCCUAAAAUGUAAACAUUUAGGAAAUUAAAAUUAACACCCCUAUACAGUCUAUUUUAAUGAAGGGAA